rnacentral:misc_RNA from 1 species
UUUCUAUAUUAAUUACACGUUAAUAAUAUAUGCGGAACACCGAGCACGUCUACCCGCGGACACGAUCGGUGAGCUAGUGACGUAGUCGGGUUGCGCAUACACUACAUCCCUUCUUUAUUUUUAUUUUUUGAAGAUUACAAUUACCUAAAUUAUAAUACUUAUUACAUUUUUCAUGAUAAUUUUAAACACAAAAUAAAAUGUAAACAAUAACAUAGUAAUCAAUGCAAGUCAAUCAUAAAUAAUUUAGUUUAAUUAGUUAUCAUGUUCUAAAUUCUCGUUAUUAACAUUUUUAUCAACUACAGUCCAAGAAUCAUUAACUUUUUUCAAAUGAACUAUAUUUCGACGAUAUUCUUUCCCAGUAUCAUCGUUCCGAAUAUUAACAUCGCCACCAGCUACACCAGUCACAGUAUGUGUAGUGGGAUCAAAAUUUGUGGU